GUGGCUCACUGGUAGAGUGCUUGCCUUGCAUGCAUGAAGCCCUGGGUUCAAUUCCUCAGC
rnacentral:tRNA from 1 species